AUGAAAUCUGCGUAUCACUUGGGGAUCAGGUUGAGGGGGGAAAUUCACCACAGAGAUACUAGUUCAUCUAUGUCGGUGCCAAUUGUCUCGCAGAGAUGGAAUAGAUUCUGGAGCCUGAACCUUCCACCUAAAGUUAGAAUGUUCCUUUGGCGGCUAGCAAAAACUUCUCUUCCACUGCGUAUGAACAUAAAGAGGAAACAUGUUGAUCUUGACACAAAAUGCCCUGUGUGCAUGAGACUAGAUGAGGAUGGUGGCCACCUGUUCCUAAAAUGCAAGAAGGUCAAGCAAGUUUGGAGAGAAUUACAGCUUGAGGAUGUCAGACUUGCCUUGCUUGAUUGUACUAAUCCGAUGGCAAUGUUUGAUCAAAUCUAG
rnacentral:rRNA from 1 species